rnacentral:rRNA from 1 species
UACGUAGGGUGCAAGCGUUGUCCGGAAUUACUGGGCGUAAAGCGCGUGUAGGCGGACCUUCAAGUCGGACGUGAAAGCCCUGAGCUCAACUCAGGAACUGCAUCCGAAACUGAAGGUCUGGAGUAGUGGAGAGGGAAGCAGAAUUCCUGGUGUAGAGGUGAAAUGCGCAGAUAUCGGGAAGAACACCCGUGGCUAAGGCGGCUCUCUAGUACGGUACUGACGCUGAGACGCGAAAGCGUGGGGAGCGAACAGG